rnacentral:ncRNA from 1 species
ACACUGGCUUCACACGCUGACUACGGUCCGCUCGAUCGACGUAACGGAGUAAGCCGGUGAGAUCCCGGCACGGUCGCGCCACUGUGUGCGGUCCACCUCAGCCGAGGUGGCCGUGAGUCAGACACUCCGUCGUCGUGAGCACCAACUA